GUGUAGUAGGUUAAUUAUAAUAUAUAGUUCUUAAAUGCACUCACCGGGAUAAUUUAGCACAAUUUAAAUUUAGUUCAUUGGGUAACACAACACUACAAAUAUACGAACACAGAAGGUGCACGGACGAAAGUACCAAACACAGAUAAGGUUAGCGAUUUUAUUGUAACUAGAAAGCCAACAAAAAUAUAAGAUAAACGAAAGCAAAAGAUUUUUACAUAGGCAAAAGCAUAAGCGUCUCGCGUCAGCGAAGGAUCGUGACUGGAGGGCGCGGGCGGCCGGCGCAUACGCAAUACUCGGGCCGGCCAAACCGGUUUUAAAACUAGUGCGGAGCGUGAAGGCUGUCGAUACCCAAUUCAUCGAUAUAUCGAUAUUAUAUCGAUAUAAGUACAAAAAAAUAGUAAAUGUAUAUACUAUAUAAUUAUGUAUAUAUAUUUAUAUAUUUAAUAAUGUAAUGUGUAGGAGGAUGCCUACA
rnacentral:misc_RNA from 1 species